AAACCUGGGACUGCAUAUUGGCCAGCAUGUUGGUUCGCACCCUCGGUUCUUGCGGGAGGUUGAGGGAUCCCUGCCUCUAUUGAUGGGCCUGUUGACUGCUGUCAUUAUGUCCCUUGGACACACAGCCAUUGUCUGUUUUUCCUGCCAUCAUCCAAUAAGGUGGUGGCCAGGACCCAAGGGUGCCAGUGAUCACACUCAACCAUACCUCUAAGGUAGGAAGAAAGUUCUCUGAGCUUUGCUUAAACCAGACUUAAAGAACAUGUGCUCAAGCUUCUGACAGCUAAGGCAGUUUACUCUUCCUUUUCUGUGACCCGAGUCUCAGCUGGUUAAUGUCUGAAGAUUAGCUGAGAACGCCCUCUCGUUGCACACAGACCUGGACCAUUGACUCAGGGAAACGCAUUAACUGCUUGAAUGGAGGACUAGUCGUUCACGGCCAGUGGGUUUUUCUGCUCCAUGGAGUUCCUGCCACCACUGUGGAGUAACUGGAGCAGUGAUUUUGAGAGCAAUCCAUGCAUUUUCAAGAAGGAAGGCACAGAGACAGGGGUGACCAGUGCUGUCUAAACAGCAUGACGUCGAGGCUAGGAAUCCCAACUUUGCCAUCAGACACAUUUUGGUUUGAACCCGGUCGCCGCUACUUUCUGGUGUGAUCCCAGAGACGUCACCUACCCUCGUGUGUAGGGAGAGAUGGUAAAUGCUCCUGGUCAGAGGGCUGCUCUGAAGACUCAACAGGACAACGAUGUGAAAAGGGUGGCACCGUGCCUGGCACACAAUAAGGACUUAGCAAGUUAAUUUAGCAACGAGAAUGCAAGCAAAAGCGGCCU
rnacentral:lncRNA from 1 species